UAACGAAUCUUCCGCAAUGCACGAAAGUGUGACGGAGCGACGCCGCGUGUGGGAUGAAGUCCUUCGGGAUGUAAACCACUGUCAGGGGAAAGAAAGUUCUGAUCUACCCCAGAGGAAGAGACGGCUAACUCUGUGCCAGCAGCCGCGGUAAUACAGAGGUCUCGAGCGUUAGGCGGAAUCACUGGGCUUAAAGCGUGUGUAGGCGGAUUCCUAAGUACCUUGUGAAAUCCCACGGCUCAACCGUGGAACUGCUUGGUAUACUGGGUGUCUUGAGCCAACUAGGGGCUACCGGAACAAAUGGUGGAGCGGUGAAAUGCGUAGAUAUCAUUUGGAACGCCAAUGGUGAAAACAGGUAGCUGGGGUUGUGCUGACGCUGAGACACGAAAGCCAGGGGAGCAAACGGGAUUAGAUACCCGGGUAGUCC
rnacentral:rRNA from 1 species